rnacentral:rRNA from 1 species
AGAUUGAACGCUGGCGGCAGGCCUAACACAUGCAAGUCGAGCGGUAGAGAGGUGCUUGCAUCUCUUGAGAGCGGCGGACGGGUGAGUAAUGCCUAGGAAUCUGCCUAGUGGUGGGGGAUAACGUUCGGAAACGGACGCUAAUACCGCAUACGUCCUACGGGAGAAAGCGGGGGACCUUCGGGCCUCGCGCCAUUAGAUGAGCCUAGGUCGGAUUAGCUAGUUGGUGAGGUAAUGGCUCACCAAGGCGACGAUCCGUAACUGGUCUGAGAGGAUGAUCAGUCACACUGGAACUGAGACACGGUCCAGACUCCUACGGGAGGCAGCAGUGGGGAAUAUUGGACAAUGGGCGAAAGCCUGAUCCAGCCAUGCCGCGUGUGUGAAGAAGGUCUUCGGAUUGUAAAGCACUUUAAGUGGAGAAGGUUGUAACCUAAUACGUUGCAACUUUGACGUUACGACAGAAUAAGCACCGGCUAAACGUUCGCGCCAG